UACGUUGGGGGCUAGCGUUGUCCGGAUUUAUUGGGCGUAAAGCGCGUGUAGGCGGCUAGGUAGGUCCGCUGUGAAAACUCGAGGCUCAACCUCGAGACGUCGGUGGAAACCAUCUGGCUAGAGUCCGGAAGAGGAGAGUGGAAUUCCCGGUGUAGCGGUGAAAUGCGCAGAUAUCGGGAAGAACACCCGUGGCGAAAGCGGCUCUCUGGGACGGUACUGACGCUGAGACGCGAAAGCGUGGGGAGCGAACAGG
rnacentral:rRNA from 1 species